ACUUAGCUUCUCAGAAAUAUGCUGAGUGUCGUGGGAGUAUAGCAGUGUGUGCAGCCCGGCUCAUUGAGGAUGGGGGAGGGCAGGGUUCAGGAAAUCAUUCCCCUCUCCCCGGCCCCAGGGAACAUUUUGAAAAUGGCUGUAGGGCUCCAAAGGCAAAGACAGUGCUCUGGAGAAGGACUUGGAUGAGGCUGCUAGAGAAGCCAUCUGUGGCAGGGGUCAUGUAGGGUCAUUGAGUAGGGGUGACUCUUUCCGAGGCUGAGAGCUCACCUCAGCCCUCCCUUCAGUUUGCAGCUGGGAUUUCUCCAGCUUGUCACCGUCAACCAGAUACUGUGUGUUCCUUAGGACCCAGCGUGGGUCCAAGAUGUAUCUAGCAGUUGAGUGGCCAGAAUAGUCAAAGUGUGGAUUAGGUAGUGUGAUGGGUGACAAAGGCCAUCAGGACCGAGAAGAGCCAUCAUGGUCUUAAAUCCCCUGUGCCAACGUUUCACUAAAAAGGGGCGUUUGGACCCAGAGGAAUCCUCUGAGGUGCUCUAGGGAGGAGGGCAGGGCAUCUGGAUCCAGUUUACUGGGGAAUCUAUUGAACGGCCGUACUGGGUUUGGGGAGUUUGCCUUCCAUGCCUCGCAGGGAGAAGCUGUAAAAUGUAGGUCCUUUUGUUGAUGUUGUGUUAUUACCCUGGUGAACUGAGGGCUUUAUUUCUGCACUGGCUUGUCAAUUAAGGUACCAGGCUUCAGGCUGCAAAGAGUUUCCCCGUCUUGACCCCAAACCUUUCUGUGCAUCUCAGACCUCCCACACUUGAGUGCAAACUUGGUGAGAUGCUCAGAACUGUCUUUCCCCUGGGUUGGAAGUAGAAUCGAACCCCGUAACCUACUUUGUCUGGGUGUAGGUGACUGUAUUUUUACAGCUCCAAUGCUUAUACCAUCAGAUAGGCUUUUAAGCCGCCUAAAACCUCUUUCACUCCUGCCCUUGACUGUGCCUCCACUUGGUACAAAAAUGGUUUCAAAGUUUUUAAAACAAUCUCUUUCUGUGUGCUCGCUUCUUCCCAUUUGAAACCCAGGUCUGUGCUUCCCUUUCUUUGCUGAAGGAACUUAGGAAGAUCUUAGGAAGACUCUGCUAGUGAUGGCCUAUGAGAAUAUAACCUGAGCUACAGCUCGCCUACCAUUUGGCUUUGCCAAGCUCCUCCAGCACAGCAAGCGAAUCGAGGACCUGAUCAUUCUAACUGUGACAAGCAGGGGUGAAAGUAAGUCGAGUGAUUUACUGGUACGCUGCAGCCAGCUCUGGCCCCACGAAGGGACAGGGCUGAGGGGGGUCAGAGCCAGCCCACCCUGUAAGCUCUCUGCAGUAGGAGCGCCUCGAGUGCGCUGCUGUGUGUGUGUGAGUCCGUCCAUCCUCCGGGAGAUCUACUCUACUGCCUGCUGAAGUACUAAGGGAGAGCUGCUCAGGAUGCACCAAGGCAAACGCAGUCAGGGAGCGUGGGAUGUUAGAAUGAAAACGUCCAGGAUCCUUGACCUCCAGAGCCUAUUUACUCAUUCUCUACCUCAAGGCAUUGCUCUGUCUGGAAUGUUUGCUAUGGAAAUUAUGAUGCCACUAAUGGAGGAUUACACUUUUGGGUGGGGAAUGAGCUGACUGGAUUUUUAGAGGCUGUUUCUGAAUUCAGCCCUGAAACUGCAGAGGGAAUCUGGCAUGUUUCCGUCUUGCCCGUGCAGCUUUUCAUACCCGCGUAUCAGCAUGUACAAAACCUUGCACUAUGCGUACACAAGUGUAUUGGUGGACGUGUGCCCGGCUGUGGUUUGUAUGGGCUAGGGUGAGCGUUCACAGGAACCCAAGCAUGGCUAUGCAAAACCAGAGUGCAAAAUUGCAUUUGCAAUUCUAGCGGCUCAAAAGAGGCCCCUUUGGAAAUAUUACUCAGACCAAUGCGCUGUUAGCCUGUUUUCAUGAAAAUAUCCCUGCUAACAUAAAUGAGUGGAAAAAAAUAUAGAACAUAUGGUCUAGAUGCAUCUCAACAGAAUGUUUUUUCCAAGCUUCCCAUGAGUAGGCCUGCCCUGUGUUUUGAAAUACGUUGUGUUGCCAAACUGCCAUCCAAAAAUUAGAGAUGGGUCAGAACCGAAGCUCUGGAUCUCAGCAGCCUGGAGCUUUAGGGAAGCUUGAAUCUGAAAUUCCUGAUUGCCCCCGAUCUCUGCAGUGGGCUAAAUCAGACCCCCGAGUUUGCAUAGUCUCAGAUUUCAGAGCAGUUUGGAUCCAGAUCUGAAUUCUGCAGCUAGGGCUCAUCUGUACUGGAAAAUACAGAAAACGCUGAAAGACUUUCUUCGUUGCUACAGGGAGCUGCUGAAUUCUGCCCAGGGGAGUUCAGCCGCUGUGCACAUGGAACAUCAGGAUGAAUGGACAGUUUCGGGUUCUUUAAGCAACUGGUCUGGGGGAAGCGUCCGUCUGUAAGAAGCCCUUCCUUCCCAGUUCUCCUGUUUGAUUUCCAUGUGCCCUUCUCCUGCCCUAAUUUUGCAUCUUCUAAUGGUAGGAGGUGUCUCCAACUCUGCAGCUGAUACUUACUGUGACUCCUAUUCAGACUGUUUUUUUUUUUUUUUUUUUUUUUAGCUUCUCAUGUUCCUUGUGAUGAGAUACCACCCCACCCCCCCGGCCGGGGUGCAGCCUGGGACUGUGGGACACGCCCCCUUAAUUUCCCAGCCUGGGCUGUCUCUCACAAUGCCUUGCUAGUGACCAGCAGCAAACCCCUCCAGGGGCUGUUUUCACUCAGCACAACUGCAUAUGGAGCCUCACACCCAGCUAGAUUGCAUGAAUGCUCCCAGAGCCACUCGUGAAUCACACAGAGAAAGGCACCAGAGCCAAACCGUCCCAGCAUUGUACCCCAGGAAUACACUGUCUUGCUCUGCUUCAGACGAGCCGUGCAAACUGCUUUAUGGGUUCACCACUUCAUCACUGGAAAGUAGAUAUACACCAGCCUUUGCUAAAUCUGAGCAGAUUUGCCACACACACCAAGCAAACUCGCUGGUAAAGAUAAACAGUUAAACAAGUUAAUGGACUACAAACAAUAGAUGUUAAGUGAUAGGCAAAAAGUCAGGUAGUUACCAAAAUAAAAUAUAAGCACGCAGUCUAAACUCUCAACCCUUUCAGGCUGAGCAACAACUAGACUCAGCAGGUUUUCUCACCCCACUGGAUAUUGCAGUUCAUAGUACGCAGAUGUCACCCUUGAAAUCUGGGCCAGUCUCCUCUGCUGGAGUCUUCAGAGUGUCCUUGUUGCUUGCAGCGUAGGUGGAUGAAGGGAAAAGGCCAAGCAUGUGGCCACUGUCUGUUUUAUGCUUGGAAAACACAGGUCCAAGCACGUCUGGGUGCAUUGUUGAGUCUCCAGCAAGGUUGAGAAAUUCCCCUGGUGUGGCCUCAUGCAGGUGUGUCAUUGCGUCAUAGUUCCCUUGCUGGACAAUGGUUGUUGAUGGGUUGAUUGACACUCUGCCUGGGUGUUGCCUACUUUCCUUGCUGUUGCCUCAGGGGAGCUAAUAUCUAGCUAUUCCCCAACGUGCAGCAUGUUUUAAUGACCACCAUACAACACAAUUCUUGUAACUUCAUAUGCAUUAAUGAUAUAUAUAUAUAAAGUCAGAGAAAUGACUUUCAGCAGAUCAGACCCUUUCCCCUGAUACCUUACAAGGCAUGCUUUAUAUGUAAGAUCACGAUUAUAUGAAAAUGUAGAAUAUCGGGGUUCCAGGAUGCUCCCCCAAGGAAUAGAAUGUCAGAUUCCUAAUGUCCAGAAACUCUCCUGAGCCUUCAGAGCUCUUGGUUUGUUUUGAGACUUCCAAGUUUAGCUGAUGCUACUCAGGAGUCCGUGUCAGGAGUGACCCCUAGUUUGUCUCCUAUUCUGCUCAUGGGGCAGGUUCCUGUGUUUGGCUGGGGAAUCCCACCAUUGCAGUGCUAAGUUAGAACCCUCUGAAAAUGGCACCGGGUUUUGUGGCUGUUGGAGGGACAGGGAAAGGAGAAGGAACUGGUAACAUCAGGGUCCCAUUUCCUUCCGGACUCUCAUUUUAUUUUCCCUUGUGAGGCACUUGGGAGAUUCAUUGUGGGCCAGUUUGCAUGCAGAAUCCCUGGGACAAUCUGAACCUCUUGCAUGAUAACACCAUCUAUGGUCAAAGUUUGCCUGCUGGGACUGGAAAGGCAAAUGCCAAGACUACGAUUAAAAUGUCUAAUUCUAGAGGCUCACUGAGACUGCUUUAUAUUUAAUUGCCCUGGUUUUUCUUGGGAUCAUUUUCAGAUAAGUACCAAUCAUCUUCCCUUCUCUUCCCCCCCAACCCCCACCAUUUUCCACUAAAUUUUAUCUUGUCAUUUCUUCCCCCACUCCCCCCGCCGUCCUCUCACUGGUUUUUUGGAAUGACGCCUUUAUGGCUUAGUUUGGAAGGGAGGAUGGAAAGUUAUUUUCAACCCCCAAAUUAGAAACAGAAUUAGAUUUUGUGUUGCAUUUUGGAAGAGCCCUCACCGAGGAGGAGCAAGCAUUAUAAAAAAAGAAAAAAAAAAAAGUCUAUCUUGACUCCUGAGACCUCUGUAAGGGAUCUGAUCCUGGGAAGUGCCUAGCACCCAUAAACUUACUGGCAUCUGUGCUGAGAAUGUUUCCAGGGAGUGCCUGGCACCUGGAGGAAUUGAGCCCUACCUGACCUCUGAGCGCUUUCCCUCUCCCUGCCGCAAAUGAAAGUGCCUGCAACAGAGCCCCAAAGCUCUCCCACUCUCCUGAAGCUGUAAGCUCAUCACUGUAGCAACCAUCACUGCUACAAAUUGAAAUGAGGAGACAGGCACUCCUGCAGGCGGCAACCCUCUUCUGUCAUUUACAAACAUGCCAUCAUUAGGGGGGUGAGCCAAUUAAAGCAAUUAAGAAGCUUCAAGGCAAGCGACCACUAUUUCAUUCCAGCACCACAGACUGCUUUGCCAUAGAGCUCCGAGCACUGAUGUCCUGCUUUUGAUGGAUGUAUGUGUGCGCGCGUGGAGGUGCAUUUUGGUCCUGUAGGGUGACACAGCCUGGAUUAUUGAUUAUUUGACUGGAUUAUUCAGUGGGCAGAGAGAGAAGGAACAGAAGUGAUCUCGGCCAAAUAGGAACCUGUCCACAUAUAUUUGACAGUGUUGUGUUGGAUGAAAAUGGGUUGGCUGUAGAAGUUUUGUUUGCAACAUCUUUCUGUUUCCAAAAAAACUUGAAACAGUAGGGGAGGAGGGAAAGGAAAUGCUGGAGAGCGGGUUGGUUUUGUGUUUGAAGAAGUCCAGGCAUGAAAAGAACUUCCGUUUGAAAUGGAAUUUUUCAAAACGCAACAAUUUUAUUUUCCACUUCAAUUUAUUUAAUUAAAAGUGAGAAAUUUCAAAUGAAAUGAAAACUGUGUAUUUUCUCUCAAUCUUUCAUGGUAAAAAUCAACCCCGUUUCAACUAGCUCUGCUUCCAAAUGUCACUUUCCCCUUGCACCCUUUCAGCAGCAGACAGGAUCCGCAGAGAUGCUGGAAAGGCAGAGAGGACUGUAGAAACAGCAGCCCUACAAGAGCUCUUGUGCAACAGCGCUUCUCCUUCUCCGCAUGUCUGCACGCCUCGGAGCCUGAGCCGCAGCAACCAAGGUGUGGCGCCCUGAUGGCUGCUGCAAAGGAGCUGUGCAAUAGCUUCCAUUCCAGUGCCGCACUGACACCGUUAAAGCUGCUCCUUUUGGGCUGUGGGCCAUUUCAGUCUCUUGGCCACGUCUCUCAAUCCCUUCCCUCAGUCGGACAGCCACGGUG